rnacentral:rRNA from 1 species
GUGGGGAAUAUUGGACAAUGGGGGGAACCCUGAUCCAGCCAUGCCGCGUGUGUGAAGAAGGCCUUUUGGUUGUAAAGCACUUUAAGCGAGGAGGAGGCUACCGAGAUUAAUACUCUUGGAUAGUGGACGUUACUCGCAGAAUAAGCACCGGCUAACUCUGUGCCAGCAGCCGCGGUAAUACAGAGGGUGCAAGCGUUAAUCGGAUUUACUGGGCGUAAAGCGCGCGUAGGUGGCCAAUUAAGUCAAAUGUGAAAUCCCCGAGCUUAACUUGGGAAUUGCAUUCGAUACUGGUUGGCUAGAGUAUGGGAGAGGAUGGUAGAAUUCCAGGUGUAGCGGUGAAAUGCGUAGAGAUCUGGAGGAAUACCGAUGGCGAAGGCAGCCAUCUGGCCUAAUACUGACACUGAGGUGCGAAAGCGUGGGGAGCAAACAGGAUUAGAUACCCGAGUAGUCC